rnacentral:rRNA from 1 species
UGCAUAGGCGGAUUAAUAAGUCAGUGGUGAAAACCUGCAGCUUAACUGUAGAACUGCCAUUGAUACUGUUAGUCUUGAGUACGGUCAAGGUAGGCGGAAUGUGUAAUGUAGCGGUGAAAUGCUUAGAUAUUACACAGAACACCGAUUGCGAAGGCAGCUUACUGGACCAUUACUGACGCUGAGGCACGAAAGCGUGGGGAGCGAACAGGAUUAGAUACCCUGGUAGUCC